GCUUGUGGUCUAACCUGCAAAACUGAGAGAGCCCCAGCUUGUCUCCGGCUCAGCCCCACACGAGCCUCUCUUGCUGGAGGAAGUUAUAUCACCCUCGAGGAAUUGCUUGGUGAAUGCGAUGCAAUGAAGGCGGUGGUUCCAGGCGAAGAGCUUCCCAUGGCCAUGUGGAUGGUUUGGUUAUUGGACAAGUGGCCAAAAAUAGCUGCCCCUUGCUGCUUGUAAGUGUGAAGGUCACUGAAACGGGCUGAGCCCCCAUGCCAGGACUGGGGAGGGAAAUGCAGCCCUGGGUUUCCCCAGGUCGGUGUGUGCUGUCUUCCAUCUUGGGUUUGGCUUGAAAUGUUGUUAUCACCUGGAAGGAUGGGCAUGCAGCAAGUGCUCUCUCAGCUGCAGUGUGAUUUGUUGCAUCCAUGGGAACCUGCCUGCUUUUCCUUCUGUAGGUGUUUGAAGGCCCACAAUAAACAAGGCUUUCCAUUGCAAAGGGAAGUGGUGAAAUUAAUUAAAGAAAGACCUGAAAAUGUGGCAAAGACAUUAUCCGUGGUUCCAGAAGGCUGCACACCGA